AUUGAACACUGGCGGCAGGCCUAACACAUGCAAGUCGAGCGGAGCGGCGGACGGGUGAGUAAUGCCUAGGAAUCUGCCUGGUAGUGGGGGAUAACGUCCGGAAACGGGCGCAGAUACCGCAUACUAUCAGAUGAGCCUAGGUCGGAUUAGCUAGUUGGUGGGGUAAAGGCCUACCAAGGCGGAGAUCCGUAACUGGGCUGAGAGGAUGAUCAGUCAGACUGGAACUGGGACACGGUCCAGACUCUUCCGGGAGGCAGCAGUGGUGAAUAUUGGACAAUGGGCGAAAGCCUGAUCCAGCCAUGCCGCUUGUGUGAAGAAGGUCUUCGGAUUGUAAAGCACUUUAAGUUGUGAGGCGUUACCAACAGGAUGAGCACCGGCUAACGUCGUGCCAGCCGCCGCGGUAAUUC
rnacentral:rRNA from 1 species